rnacentral:rRNA from 1 species
GACGUAGGGCGCGAGCGUUGUCCGGAUUUAUUGGGCGUAAAGAGCUCGUAGGCGGCUUGUCGCGUCGUCCGUGAAAACUUGGGGCUCAACCCCAAGCUUGCGGUCGAUACGGGCAGGCUCGAGUUCGGUAGGGGAGACUGGAAUUCCUGGUGUAGCGGUGAAAUGCGCAGAUAUCAGGAGGAACACCGGUGGCGAAGGCGGGUCCCUGGGCCGAUACUGACGCUGAGGAGCGAAAGCGUGGGGAGCGAACAGG